CCAUCGAACACUUUUUAAACACCAAACGUUUCUUCUGAGAAAACUUUGUGUCUCACAAUCGACAAGUAUGUUCCUACAAUGCCCAAAUGUCGCUGUGGCAGCAGGAGUGGAUCUGCACUGUCGUAAGGAAGCGUGCCGCAUUCAUCAAGUGUCCCUGCUGCAGGGAGGACAAGGCUAAAUUAGGACAUCUAGGUGCUACACAGGGCGCAGGUGUGUGUGUCUCGCCCCGUGGUCAAGGAAAGUGUUGAUGAGGAUGGCAAAGUACAGGUAAAUAUGACUAUCAUACUAAGCUGUGUGUCCUCUAAUGUCACACCUGCAGUAGCAGAGGCACCCAUUCCUUCCUGUGUCCCAAAGCCACAUGUCACUUCUCCAUCUGAACCAAUAACCACCCAGUGGAGCAACACCAGCGUGUUCAUCACCAGGUGGUGAAGACAAACUGAGUUCAAGAAUGGUCGAAGGCCAUUGAAUCAGGUCAUCGAAUAGCCUUGAGCUUGGGAGAAGCAGGGGAGCGUCUGUCUCGCCCCACUUUGAAAGAGACUGUGGAUGAGGAUGGCUAAGUGACUAUCACCUCAUCAUAUGGAGAGUCUGGACAGCAUCUCUGAUUGGAUGAUUACCUGGUACCUGGACGACAUUUGUGGUGUGUGGACCCACUCCAGGGAGGAGUUCAGUGUAUUCCUGAACACACUGAACACCUAUAAUAAAAACAUCACCAUCAAGUCUCCAACACACCACCUGGACUUCAAGGUCUUUUCCAAGUAGACUGACACCCUCCUGUAUAAAAGCAGCUUCCACCCGAAGCACACUUUUGCAGGGUUGGUGAAAUCUCAACUGCUGAGGUUUCAUAGGAUCUGUACCAGGCGGGAGGACUUUACAGUAGCCACGAGGGCCCUCUUUUCAGCCCUGAGGAAGAGGGGCUACUCCAGGUCCUUCCUCAGGAGACAGACUAAGGUCUUCCUGGACCAGAAGGGGCCUCCCCCUGGAACAUCCAUGAUUCCUCUCAUCACCACCUACUCUCCUGCGGCCGUACAGGUCGCCAGAAAGGUCAAGAACAACUUUCAGGCCUUUGUGGAGAGUAGUGGGAAUCAGCAGGCCUAUCGAAAGAACCCCAAUCAAUGUGAGCUGCAGGUCAGGGCCCAGGUAAGCUCGCUCAGAGACUCGCACCAGACUUGGAAGAGCGCUCUUUUCUGCCACACACCGUGGCUUGUCAACCGUCACAGCAUGACCAGCACACAAACAAUUGUGUGUAGGUAAUUUCCUGUCGACGAUGGCACGUCAUGUGCGUUUGCGAAACGGGUACACUGACAUCUAACAUUUUUGGAAUUCCAACAGAAUCCAUCACAAUCGAACAGACGGACACAAAACUUUAGUUUUGGGAAAAGUUGUUAGUUUUAUCGAAAAUAUCCACAUCAGACAUUCUGACAAAUAGACAUUCUCCCAUGAUUGUAAAUGUAAUUUUGACCCUUUUCAACCGACAAUGUUUCUACAAGAACUUGUGACGUCAGAGGUCAGUCACGUGUCACUUAACUGUACAGCAACAUUAUGAGGAUGUAUUAAUUUGUAUUUUUAAUUUAGUAACAUUAUGGGAUGUAUGGAGCCUUAAAACAAACAAAAAUAAUAAUUUUAAAUAAACUGAAUUUACAAAAUAAAAUAUCAAAAGACCAACUUUCUUCCAUCAAUCAGAAUGUCUAAACAGCAUCUCUAUCAGUGAUUGGACGAUACCUUCACGUGCAACCGAAAUGUUAAAUCCCAUCAGAACAUCGGACAGAGUGGACGGUUAUUAGUUACAUCUCCAAACAUGUCACGUUUAGACAUUUUGACGAUGAGUUCAAAUGUAAGUUCGACACUCUUUAACUCUUUAUUUCAUUCGGCGUGUUUGCUGUCCAUUUAACUGACAAUGCUUCUACAUUCCUCAACGGUUAUUCUCUUCCUUUCGACGAAGACAAACGCUAGAAAAACUAUUAUUUGACACAAACGAUGGCGUCUGAAGCAACAUGCACUUUUAAAACAGUCACUUUUAAUGUUCACAUUACUUCGAAACCGGAGGAAAAGACGUUUGCGAAUGUGGCUGUGAAUCCCUGAUUAAGUCGUGGCAGAGGACGCACGAAUUUGUGACACUAAUCCACUGUCUGAUUAAUUAAACAAGAGAGAGCGAUGUAUUUAAAAAUAAACAACUGUUAACUAUUGUAACGACCUGCUGGUGUUAAUGUUUAGAGUUCACAUUGGGAAAUAUACCGUGCCUUAUAUAACCUGUUUUUAACACAAGAUUGGCAAUAAAAGUUUUUAAAAAAAAUUACUUUCUGGGCGCAACAACACAAUAUGCUGAAAAACGACACAUUCCAACCACAGUUUUGCAGCCUGCAUCGCCGCUAACGCUAAGAUAGAAUUAUGGAAGAUGCACGACGGGGUUUCAACUUUAGGUCAAUAUCACCAGCGUUGAUUGAUCUGACGGUGACAUUAGCUGUGUCCCAAUUCAAGGUCUGCAUCCUUCGAAGGGCGCAACGCUGCGGGAAGGCUGUCCCAAUUCAUUCAAAUUCGAAGGCUUCUCCAAAAGCAGCCGACGAAUGCACCCUCCUUUUCCCUGUAUUUGGAGGAUGCACCGCGACUAUCCUUCGUGGCCUCCCAUAUCCCAAGAUGCUUUGCGCGCCUUUGUUCAAACCGGAUCUUUUUGACGAUGGCGGCAAAUACAAGCAGCGGCACCGGCAGCGAAUACACUUUCAAAUGUAAGUAUCCUCCGCAGGCUAGACUGUUCCAUUUAAAAACGGGUGACGCAUCCUUCGGAGGUGCCUCCGGAGGUCCAGCCUUCUGAGGCUAAGAGGCCGGGUCCUCCGAAGGAUGCAGACCCUGAGUUGGGACACAGCUACUGUUUCUGUCGUAGGUUCAAAAAUGGCCAGCCACGUCCUUACAGCUUAGAUCUGAGACGUGUCAUAAAGCAAAAAAUGUGGGAACAACAGUCACGCCCCACCUUUACCGAAACUGUGGCUGAGAAGGGAAGAGUGAAUGUCACUCCAUCAUACGGACUGAAUUGGGACACAGCUACUGUUUCUAUCGUAGGUUCAAGAAUGGCCGGUUACGUCCUUACAGCUUAGAUCUGGGACGUGUCAUCAAGCAAAAGCUGUGGGAACAACAGUCACGCCCCACCUUUACCAAAACUGUGGCUGAGAAGGGAAGAGUGGAUGUCACUCCAUCAUACGGAGUCUUCGCACCUCUGUAUGAUGUCGACGUUAGCCUGGAGCCCAAACCCCCUAAGUUGUUUUAAAAAACUAGUUUGAGUAAAUAUGAAGGAAAGGGUAGGAGACCAGAAGAGGAGGUGGUUAACAUUUCUCCCGUACUGUACCUUUAACAGUUUCUCCAUGCGCAGUGUUUUAGCGAGGGAAGUGAGGGUUGUGUGUUACAAGUUUUCCUCUGUGCUGAGCGGAUAAAAUGUUCUGAAAGAGAAUAAACGUUGUGUUUAUUAACCUACAUUCAACAGGGGUUACUUUAAUUACCCUCUCCAUCCCUUUAUCCACCAUCUAUUUUUGCCCCCACUCUGCCUCUUUUGACUCCUACCUUCAUGUUUGUCCAAAGUAUGCUACACUAUGUCAACAAAACAACAACUUUACUUGUUGUCUUAGCUAAUAAACAAUUGUGCACUGUAUCUAAUGUAUUAUUGUAUUCAUUUUAUUUAUAUUGUAUAUUUUUUCUAUGUCCAUCCAUUUCCUACCGCUUGUCCCUUUCGGGAUCACGGGGGUGCUGGAGCCUACU